rnacentral:rRNA from 1 species
UACGGGGGGAGCAAGCGUUGUUCGGAUUUACUGGGCGUAAAGGGCGCGUAGGCGGCCAGCACAAGUCAGUUGUGAAAUCUCCGAGCUUAACUCGGAACGGUCAACUGAUACUGUGCGGCUAGAGUGCAGAAGGGGCAACUGGAAUUCCCGGUGUAGCGGUGGAAUGCGUAGAGAUCGGGAAGAACAUCGGUGGCGAAGGCGGCCUGCUGGGCUCUAGCUGACACUGAGGCGCGACAGCGUGGGGAGCAAACAGG